rnacentral:rRNA from 1 species
AAAUUGAAGAGUUUGAUCAUGGCUCAGAUUGAACGCUGGCGGCAGGCCUAACACAUGCAAGUCGAGCGGAAACGACAACAUUGAAUCUUCGGAGGAUUURWUGGGCGUCGAGCGGCGGACGGGUGAGUAAUGCCUAGGAAAUUGCCUUGAUGUGGGGGAUAACCAUUGGAAACGAUGGCUAAUACCGCAUAAUGCCUACGGGCCAAAGAGGGGGAYCUUCGGACCUCUCGCGUCAAGAUAUGCCUAGGUGGGAUUAGCUAGUUGGUGAGGUAAUGGCUCACCAAGGCGACGAUCCCUAGCUGGUCUGAGAGGAUGAUCAGCCACACUGGAACUGAGACACGGUCCAGACUCCUACGGGAGGCAGCAGUGGGGAAUAUUGCACAAUGGGCGAAAGCCUGAUGCAGCCAUGCCGCGUGUAUGAAGAAGGCCUUCGGGUUGUAAAGUACUUUCAGUUGUGAGGAAGGGGGUAACGUUAAUAGCGUUAUCUCUUGACGUUAGCAACAGAAGAAGCACCGGCUAACUCCGUGCCAGCAGCCGCGGUAAUACGGAGGGUGCGAGCGUUAAUCGGAAUUACUGGGCGUAAAGCGCAUGCAGGUGGUUCAUUAAGUCAGAUGUGAAAGCCCGGGGCUCAACCUCGGAACUGCAUUUGAAACUGGUGAACUAGAGUGCUGUAGAGGGGGGUAGAAUUUCAGGUGUAGCGGUGAAAUGCGUAGAGAUCUGAAGGAAUACCAGUG